rnacentral:rRNA from 1 species
UACGAAGGGGGCUAGCGUUGCUCGGAAUCACUGGGCGUAAAGCGCACGUAGGCGGCUUUAUAAGUCGGGGGUGAAAGCCUGUGGCUCAACCACAGAAUUGCCUUCGAUACUGUAGAGCUUGAGACCGGAAGAGGUAAGUGGAACUGCGAGUGUAGAGGUGAAAUUCGUAGAUAUUAGGAAGAACACCAGUGGCGAAGGCGGCUCACUGGUCCGGUACUGACGCUGAGGUGCGAAAGCGUGGGGAGCAAACAGGG